CACAUCCGUUACUUAUUCUGGGCAACCAAAGGAAUUGAAUCUCCCCAGUAAAACACGCCGAAACCGUUUCUCCUUCUUUCUGGCGAUUGAUAACGUUGAAUCUCAGACCAUUUUUUUUGAAGCACAUGUACGUUGAUCGCAGCGAUUGUUUGUUGGUGAGUUUUGUAGAAGCAACAAAAUCAUUGUUUACUUCUAAAAUUAAGAAGAUUGGAGCAGAUAGUAGAGGUAAAGGCCGCUAAUGAGAUCAUUUGCAACGCCGCUGCCAUCAAGGUACUGCUUGAAAAUGAUUGGAACUAUCUUACCUGCACUAGGUGUAGUAGGAAAUUUGUUGGUGACGAUGGUGACCCGUGGUGUGCUAAAUGUGAAGCAAAGGUUGAGACUCCCAUCUCAAGGUUCCUACUCCUCUUUGAAGUCGAAGACAACACAGGCUCGGCUAUCUUUUUAGCUCUUGACAGUGAGGUCCAGAAAUUGAUAACCGAACUUUCCCUAUAUUUCCCGAGUAACCUUGAAUACCAGCCUCUGUAUGCACCAGUUUACACUGUACAAUAACCUCACUUCAACACUCCAAAAUUUCACAGAUUAUCCCAAAAGAUGCGAUGAUAUCUGGAUUCUCACAAAUCCUUAAUAAUGAUGUGAAUUUCCAAAUUACUCUUAAUUCUCACAGAUCCUUAAUAAUGUUGUGAUCGUACUAGAUUUUAGGGAUUUCUGAGCAAUUAAUAACAACUGUACUACAUCUGUUAUUCAUUUAAGUGGGUUUAGAAUGGUUGUGUUUCUUAGUUUUUAUGCCCAAACAAUUUUAUUAGAAUGAGGUUGAAGUACCUUGCAUUCCAAAGAUGUUGUAGUUCUUGGAUUCCGGGGGUUCUUAAGGAUCAUACUAAACAACACUUUGUAAGGUGAAAUAGAGUGUUGCUUUUGGGGAAGCAGAAGUUUGCCAUCAGGAAAAUGUAUUUUGUGAAUCCGUAUGAAGUACCCUAUUGAGAUGCAUAGAACGAGUUCAGCAGGUCAAACUACUUGCGAAAGAUAUGAGGAUUAUUACAACGUGCAGUACAAGGAAGAGCAUAAAUGUAGGGUCUUGACGUCACAACACAGGUGUGGAAAAUAUCCAACUGAUCUAACAUUGUACUUCUAAGAGUGCUUGGAAUCUUUAAACAGUUUCAAGCUCUAUUACAUGCUUCCUCAAAAGCUGUAUUGCAAAGACUAUGUGGUCCCUUUCAUGGUUUUGUGUGGACAACAACUGCUGACAUUUACCAUUCCAAGCAAAGUAAGUGCCAUAUGGAGUUCCACGUGGUUUUAUACUCCUCUUCCAUGGAAACCUGCAUCUAUUGUUGGACAUUAUGACCAUCAUCAAGGUAAUAUCUUAGAUCAAACUGCUCGAAUAAAUUCAAAACCCAACUUGAUAUACCUGGCUGUAUAACAAAUUAUAAACACACAGUAGCUACUGUACACUUGAAUUUUAUUUUUUUUCUUGAUACAGUUUCAUUUCACUUUGAAAAAUCUUAAAACAAAAUAUGAAAUAUUGAAGUGUUUACCGAAACGUGGGGAAAGUCCAUCCGGUCGUACAUUUUUGGUACCAAUAUACCAGCCAUGAUAGUAGUUGCUCUCUAUAUUUUUUUACCACAAUGUUGCUUUUAAGAUGGCACAUUAAAAGGAAUUCAAUCUUUGUGGUAGUAGCUGCUCUGCACUUUUUGAUCACAGUGUUUCCCAGCUUCAUGGUAUGAGUAAUUUCUAAAAUUUCAGAUUAGUUCAUUGAUUGUCUUAUACAUUUUUUUUUUUUGAUUCAUUCGUAUUGUCAGAGUUCCACGUUGUGUCAAGGUUAGAAACAAGUUAUUGAAAUAUCUAACAGAUUUUCCCUCUUUUUUUAUUUGUUCCUCAGUUCCUUGCUACAAUAAGUAGACAACUUUGGAUCAGCAAAUCAACAAUUAGCAUAUUUUCUAAGUUGUUGAUCUUAGUGAAUAAUACUACAGAUGGUAUGACUGUCAAGGUGCGUAAAUUGGCGAAAUAUUUAUUUUGUAGGGAUUUUGCAACGGCCCAAUAUUUAUAGUUUUUUAUCUCCCUACUUUUUCUUUUUAUGAAUUUUCUCUUUGUUAAUCAACAAGUAUCAUUUUUGAUAGUGCAAGUCUUUCCGUUCGGGUAGACAGCAGUCAGAUUUAUUUUGCUUCCCUUUUCAGUAUUAACAUUGUGUAACUUUUUUUUCCUUCCAAUUUUCAUAAUUAGUAAUUACUCUAUUACGUCUUACACACGUUAAUUUAUUUGAUUUGAAGAGCGAUGCAUCAUAUCAUUCGGGAGUGUCCUUUCUUUUAUAACUGUUGUAGAAGAAAUAAUUUAUAUUAUAGGGGAAGUAUCUACAACAACUUUUGGGAAGAGAUAGUCGCAACUCGCAACAAUGCAUUUGCAGAUAUGGUGGUGGUUGUGUUUAUCAAGUGAUAUUUUCAGCCGACUCUUUCGCCAAAAAGGGUUCAAUCCUGGGAAAGGUUAACAUUAUCAGUUAUUUACUUGCUAGAUUUAUGGUGGAGAGCCAUGUGUGGUCCCUGCAUCUUACCUCAUGUUGGUUGUAAUUUUUUUUUUAGUAUUGGGCCGUUGCCAUGAUGGGUAAAUAUACAAGAAUCUCACACAGAAAAAAUAAAAAUAAAUCAUGAACAACAUGAAAUUUCGUUAGCCAUUGUUCAGGGAGCAAUCUCUAUUGCACUGAGUUGUUUGAUUUACCUGUACCACAACUUUUAUCACACAAGCACAUUAUUAAUGUAGUAUCAUCUUUUAGAGCUUUUUAAGAUUGUUUAGUACGUCAAGAACCUACCUGGAUUAAAAACAAAAGCAGUUUUUU